UGGACAACCUGCCCCUCUCUCUGGGAUAACCCCGGGAAACCGGAGCUAAUACCGGAUACUCCGGCUGGAUCGCAUGGUCCGGCCGGGAAAGGUCCGCCGGAGAGGGAUGGGCCCGCGGCCUAUCAGCUUGUUGGUGGGGUCAUGGCUCACCAAGGCGACGACGGGUAGCUGGUCUGAGAGGACGACCAGCCACACUGGAACUGAGAUACGGUCCAGACUCCUACGGGAGGCA
rnacentral:rRNA from 1 species